UUUUUGCUUCCUCUCUGCUGCGCCAGACUCAGGAACAGCAGAGAGGAGACUUGCCCUGGCUGCGGACAGCACAGCACUCUUGGCUUCCUGCAGCCCUCAUUACCAGGAGAAUGAGCUUGGAGCAGGCUGGAAAAGAAGUCAUCGACAGACGGUGCAGCCGUUCUUCACAUUUGCGGUAGUUCUGGAGACCAGAGGUCCCAAAUGUGUGGGGAAAUCGCUUAGGUGGCUGCUGCCUCCCCUCCUGGAGCUCCAAGGGAGAAACUACACAGGCAGAGAGCGCACGGCGCAGCCAGGUCAAGCCUGAGGCCUGUGCAAAGCCGUCCAGACUGCAGUGUGCUUUCCUGCUGGGUCAGGCUCUAAAGGAGUCACAUUCCUUUGAUCAUGGUCACAGCUGCUUCUGUUUUCCACAGUCGUGUCUUGGGAUCACCAAUGUCACCGUCAGGCACGCCCUUUGCCGUGUCCUCCACCAGCUGUAGCUGCUCUUUUGUAGAAUGAGUCUCUAAUAACCAUUUUGGAUGAACAGAAUCGAAACCUGACUUAAUCAAGCCUCAAUCAAGCAAGUUUCUGAGCCCUAAGUGCUAAAGGCUCAUAGGGCAAAGAGCAGAACGCAGGAGCCCCAACAGUCUAGGCUUGACUGCUUGUCCCAGGACCUACUGAGAAGAUAAAUGACCACGAGAAGCAGAGAGACGCAGUCAAUGCAACCAAACCGAGAAGAGGAAGAGAUGAUGGGAGUUAGCCCAUGAGGUACUGACAUGGGUGUUGGGGUAAACAGAAGGCGACAGGUGUGCCCAGUGAAGCAGUCUUGGUGAGAGUGCCGUCUCUCCCAUCACUGUCUCAGCUCAUCUGCAAGGUGGUCCAAGACUCUGCUGCUGUUACUGAAUUUAGAUAAGUACUUGGAAGAGCCGCUCCUCCCUGAAAUGACUGUAAAUGCUUCAUAGACGGACCCAAGAGCUAUGGAAUGCAAAAGACUUAGAAUAGCUGUGGUUAAAAAUGUGAAGGAGAUCUAGCAAUUGGCAAACAGUCUUAAUUAUUUUCAUUUCACAGGGCACUUUAGAUAAUUAUUAUGAUCGACAGCAUGAUGUCCAGACCAUCAACCUGUCGUAGUUUUCUUUUCAAAUAACAAUUGAUUUUUGUUUCAGCUUAAAGUAUGAAGCAAUUUGUCAGUGAUGUGUUUAUAUACACAUUCCCAUUUAAUUUUGUCUUUUAAAAUAAGAUGUUUUUUAAAUAAAGCAGGAUACACUUUUGUACAUAUGCUCCCUGGAAGAGUAAUGUCUAAUGCCUUUGAACUAUUACUGAGGCACGCUUAGGUACCCCGUGUCCGGCAUGUCUAAUUAUCUUUGUGUAAGAUAAAAGGCCUGGGAAAGGUUAGGACCACUAACAACUCUAGUUUUGGAGAAUAACAGCUUGGAGAAGUGGUUUUCCUAAGUUUUGUGUUUUAGUAGGCUUGUAUACUUGAGGAACGUGACUAUUUGAGGUAUAAAUGAGCCCACAACAAUUAGUAUUCAAGCUACACAGAAGGACUUUAUGUAUUAAUUCAGCUUCUACCUUAGAAACAAAACAGAAUCUUUGGCUUGGUAGGAUGUUUGGUUACAGCACU